UGGGGAAUAUUGGACAAUGGGCGGAAGCCUGAUCCAGCAACGCCGCGUGAGGGAUGACGGCCUUCGGGUUGUAAACCUCUUUCAGUACCGACGAAGCGAAAGUGACGGUAGGUACAGAAGAAGGACCGGCCAACUACGUGCCAGCAGCCGCGGUAAUACGUAGGGUCCGAGCGUUGUCCGGAAUUAUUGGGCGUAAAGGGCUCGUAGGCGGUUUGUCGCGUCGGGAGUGAAAACAGCGGGCUUAACUCGUUGCUUGCUUUCGAUACGGGCAGACUAGAGGUAUGCAGGGGAGAAUGGAAUUCCUGGUGUAGCGGUGAAAUGCGCAGAUAUCAGGAGGAACACCGGUGGCGAAGGCGGUUCUCUGGGCAUUACCUGACGCUGAGGAGCGAAAGUGUGGGGAGCGGAACAGGAUUAGAUACCCUGGUAGUCCACACCGUAAACGUUGGGCGCUAGGUGUGGGGUCCUUUCCACGGAUUCCGUGCCGUAGCUAACGCAUUAAGCGCCCCGCCUGGGGAGUACGGCCGCAAGGCUAAAACUCAAAUGAAUUGA
rnacentral:rRNA from 1 species